rnacentral:tmRNA from 1 species
GGGGGCGUAAAGGUUUCGACGGGGGUCUUGAAGUGUGAUAAGCGAGCGGAGAAUGGCGUGAUCUCCAUAACCUGCGCCACGUUUAAAUAUAAACGCAAGAAAUAACAUUACAGUUUCUAGAAAUAGCGGAAAUAACAUUACAGUUUCUAGAAAUAGCGAACUGGUAGCUGCUUAAGUCAGCUUCUGUCCACCGAGAGAGUACCGCGGCUCUCGCUUGGGCAUCGAUUAGCGGUGAACGACUGUCGGAAGUGUCCGUGUCCGUCAGUUGUAUACGGACUACCUGUGGCUUCAGCCCGUUUAUCGGCGGUCACCGCAGGGAAUCAUAAUAGGUAAAAUACGCUCGUAGAAAGUUGCAUGAAUGGGCUUUCGGACAGGGGUUCAAUUCCCCUCGCCUCCACCA